rnacentral:rRNA from 1 species
GACGAAGGGGGCUAGCGUUGUUCGGAAUUACUGGGCGUAAAGCGCGCGCAGGCGGUCCUUUAAGUCUGAUGUGAAAGCCCACGGCUCAACCGUGGAGGGUCAUUGGAAACUGGGGGACUUGAGUGCAGAAGAGGAAAGCGGAAUUCCACGUGUAGCGGUGAAAUGCGUAGAGAUGUGGAGGAACACCAGUGGCGAAGGCGGCUUGCUACACUACUAUUGACACUGAGGCACGAAAGCGUGGGGAUCAAACAGG